rnacentral:misc_RNA from 1 species
AAGCUGCGAUAAGUAGUGUGAAUUGCAGAAUUCAGUGAAUCAUCUAAUCUUUGAACGCACAUUGCGCCCCUUGGUAUUCCAUGGGGCAUGCCUGUUCGAGCGUCAUUUGUACCUUCAAGCUUUGCUUGGUGUUGGGUGUUUGUCUCGCCUCUGCGUGUAGACUCGCCUCAAAACAAUUGGCAGCCGGCGUAUUGAUUUCGGAGCGCAGUACAUCUCGCGCUUUGCACUCAUAACGACGACGUCCAAAAGUACAUUUUUACACUCUUGACCUCGGAUCAGGUAGGGAUACCCGCUGAACUUAAGC